rnacentral:rRNA from 1 species
CCUACGGGGAGCUGCAGUGGGGAAUAUUGGACAAUGGGCGAAAGCCUGAUCCAGCCAUGCCGCGUGUGUGAGGAAGGCCUUCGGGUUGUAAAGCACUUUCAGUGGGGAAGAAAGCCUUGGGGCUAAUACCCUCGAGGAAGGACAUCACCCACAGAAGAAGCACCGGCUAACUCCGUGCCAGCAGCCGCGGUAAUACGGAGGGUGCGAGCGUUAAUCGGAAUUACUGGGCGUAAAGCGCGCGUAGGCGGUCUGAUAAGCCGGUUGUGAAAGCCCCGGGCUCAACCUGGGAACGGCAUCCGGAACUGUCAGGCUAGAGUGCAGGAGAGGAAGGUAGAAUUCCCGGUGUAGCGGUGAAAUGCGUAGAGAUCGGGAGGAAUACCAGUGGCGAAGGCGGCCUUCUGGACUGACACUGACGCUGAGGUGCGAAAGCGUGGGUAGCAAACAGGAUUAGAUACCCCAGUAGUC